ACUUCCUGGAGUUCUGCCUGCCGGGGGCGCGGGCGGGUGUGUGAGAGAGAAGGCGAAGGGAGCCGCGGGGUGGGAGAGGAGGGAGUCCCGGCGGGAGGGCGGGGGAGAGGCUGGCGGGAGGGGGGCUCCACGGAGCUCCAGCCAGGGCCGCGGUUCGCCUGCACGUCACGGCUACUCAAACCCAAGCACGUCCCGAAAGCGGUAUUUUCUGCGUCUGGGAGGUUUUUGCAUCCUCAGUUCCCACCGCUGGGGCUGGCGGCGACCAACUCGCAGACCUGUCGCAGCCAGAGAGCUGUCAUUUCAGUACCGGGAUUCAGAAUUGAUCCAGUCCGCAGCGGAGGGGGCACAUCCCAGCUACCGAGCUGCUGAGUGUCUCUGGCUGGAACAAUAGUAUUUUUUUCUCUGCGAGGCUGCAAUUAACAUCUUAUUUGUUCUGGCUCCAUACAGGCUUUGUCAGGAUCGCGGUGCGGCGACCGACGUUGGGCUCUUGCAUUGCUUUGUGCUUGGCAAUGGAAUCAUGGUUUCGGGAUAGUCAUUUUGCCUCCUGGACAGUUGGCUGACGAAGUGUCUGAUAAACCAGCUUCAGAUACAUGCUACAAAAGGCUACUGAGCUGGCCUGAUGAUGAUCCUUCUGAGAUAUAUUUAUAGCAGAUGAUUUGUGGAUGAUAACUACGCCAAGCAAGACACUGUCUCCAGUAACCCCAGGCUCGUCUGACUUCCUCAGGGGAUUAUAAUAAAGAAUCACAAAAAGAACCCUAUAUGGACAGUCUGGUCUCUGGACACUAACAACAGCACAAUCCAAAGGCAAAGAAAGGAGGAACCACCUUGUUUCAUGUCUGCAAGCUGCUCCAUAUGAAAGCAUUGCUGACAUGUUGACCCAACAGCAAAAAGAGAGCAGCAGUUUACACACCCUCAGCUCUCUGUCCUUUCCUUUCUAUUGAUGUUGGUCCACUUUUAUGACUGAAUACAUAUUAAAAUCACCAUUUCAAAUUAUAAUUAUCUGCUUUCAU
rnacentral:lncRNA from 1 species